GAGUAUCAAAAUUCCACAAUCAUAUUCAUAUACUAGUAUUUAUUUUCUGACAAUAUUUAGUGUGUGUGUUUUUUUUUUUUGACAUAUCUGACAAUUUAAUACUAUUAGGCUUUCACUCUGUCUUGUUUUUAUUUGUAAUAGUUGAUCUGUGUUUUUCAACUAUGCCUUCUGUGUUGGUGUUGAGCUUGUCUCAUGUCAUUCCCUCCUUUCUACAAUGUGGUAGUUUUGUUUGUACUUGUACCUCCAACCUUAGCAUGUCUAAUGCUAAGUGUUGUGUAGCUCAUUCUAAACUGAUGGCUGUUCCAAAUCUUGCAAAACUUUUGGUGUUUGCUCUCUGUUCUUUCCCCACAACACACUGUAUAGUCCCACAACUAACAGGAACCCACCUAAAACACUGAUCAAACACCAAACACCAAACACAUGCAAUCAUCAAGUUGGUGACGGAGUCAGAAAAAUUAUAGAGUCUGAGUAAAAUUAUGUGAUAUAACAUAUAAAUAGUUUAACAAAAAAAUAUCAGUUUUACCCUAAACUAACUCUUAAAAUUCUGAGUUAUAUCCUAAACUAAUGUUUAAAAAUACCAAAUUUUUUGGCCUCGGCAACUGCCCAGCUUCGCUCGAGUUAGAUGGAGCCAUAAUUAUGCAUUCUUUAUCUGUAAUUUAGUGCAAUAAUGGACCCAUAAAAAUUCUAAAAUUAAAAAUAAGAUUCUAAUUUAUGAAUUAACAACCAUAAACAAGUGCAUGGAGUUAUCUUCCCAAACUUAUUAUAUCGCCCAAGAAAAUUAUAGAUGAGAGGUUUGUAAUAAUGAGAGCUAGUGGUGUUGACAUGGCAAGAAACACAUGUCCUUUCUUCUCUAUAACUCACCCCUGUCACAAUAAUUCCCUACCAACACAAAUUCAUUAUAUACAAGUUAUAAUUUUGGUGCCCAUUUAUUUUAUAAGUCGUUUAGAAAUAUAUAAUGUGAAAGAAAAGUUAAAUAUUAUAGUAUUUUUUAAUUGUUAAAAUCUCUCUGAUAACUUUUAAUUCUUCAAAUAGAUUUUACUAUCAAGAUCACAAGAGUCUAAGUUUAUUUUAAAAUUUACUUUAAUAAUUAUUUUAUUUAUUUAUUUUAACACAAAGACGCACACACGAUUGUGCGCACGCAUGUAUACAUGAUUGUCCGCACGCACGUAGACAUACUAACUGGAAAAAAAAUUGGCGCCCCAAACUUUUAUGAGUUUAUGAGUUUAUUUUAAAUAUCGAAAUUGUUUACAAAUUUGUGCAUGCAUUCAAACUUUUAAAAUUGUUUUAUAACUAUAAUUAACGUCAUGUGUAAACAUUAUAGUUAAAAAAAAAUCAUGUGCAAAAAUGUACUUCCAAAAUAUAACCAAAAAUUGAUAAAAAAAAUUGAUAUAAUUUACCCAAAUUUUACUUAUAUUUUGCACAAAGCAGUAAAGUAUAAUCUCUAAUAUUUUGAUGUAUAUACCCGAAGAGAGAAAGGAAGAAAAUCUUGCAGAAGGUCCUGAAAGACAAAGGGGGUGCAAUUUUCC
rnacentral:lncRNA from 1 species